rnacentral:lncRNA from 13 species
GACAAUAAAGGAAGAAUUGUUUUACUGGUACGCGGAACUCGGCAUGACCCAACAAUACAUAAAAUAUCAGAUCUAGCUAAGAUUGGUAUAUUGGGGACAGAAGCGGCGAUAAAGUAUUAUCCCGCAGGAUCCAUAUAUGGUUGCAUAUUUUACGUAGAUGGAUCCUUUCCAACUCCACGCCACAUUUUUCAAUUCUCUCCCAAUGUGUUAAAAAAUUUGGCCCACUUAUGGCAGAGUUGCUAUCCUAUAAGAUGUCAAAAGAUUGUUGCUUUUAACGUACCGACAAUUCUUAAUAUUAUUGUAAGACUUUUUAAAUCUUUUAUAACGGAAAAGCUGAAAAGCAGAUUUUACGUUUAUUUGUACCAGAACUGUUUCGAAGAUAUUCCAGCUGAUGCCUUGCCAGUCGAAUAUGGCGGUACCGGUGAAACACUGCAGGAGUUAACAGAAUAUUGGAAAAAAUUUAUCAAAGACAGUCGCGACUGGAUUACGGAGAAUGAGAAUGAUCAAACUGUUCAGAUAGCUGAACCUAAGCAGGUACCAGAGGAGAAAUCUCAGCAGACAUAUCUAUAAUUAUUAAUCGCUGAAAGUAAUCAUUUACUAACUAUCAUUAAAACUAAGAAUCAUUCAUUAGAUUUUAAAAUGUACAUGAAAUGCUGGUCUACGUGGAUAAGGAAUUCACAUGGUUUACCUAAGGUGACACUAAGAACUUAGAUUAUUUUUUCAAUUAUAUAUAUUUUAUGUAUUUUUGAAAUAU